AAAUUGACGGGGACCCGCACAAGCGGUGGAUGAUGUGGUUUAAUUCGAUGCAACGCGAAGAACCUUACCAGGGUUUGACAUGCAAGUGUAGGAAUCCGAAAGGUGACCGACCCUUCGGGGAGCUUGCACAGGUGCUGCAUGGCUGUCGUCAGCUCGUGUCGUGAGAUGUUCGGUUAAGUCCGCUAACGAGCGCAACCCUCGUCGUGUGUUAUACGUGUCACACGAUACUGCCGGUAUCAAGCCGGAGGAAGGUGGGGAUGAUGUCAAGUCAGCAUGGCCUUUAUAUCCUGGGCUACACACACGCUACAAUGGCAGAUACAGUAGGUUGCGAAACCGCGAGGUGGAGCCAAUCCUCAAAGUCUGUCUCAGUUCAGAUUGUAGGCUGCAACUCGCCUGCAUGAAGUUGGAGUUGCUAGUAAACGCAGGUCAGCUAUACUGCGUUGAAUACGUUCCCGGGGUUU
rnacentral:rRNA from 1 species